rnacentral:lncRNA from 1 species
ACUUGCCGUGGAGAUGGAAGGCAGCCCCUCGAGGGAAGUGGUUGGUUUGAGUUGGCAUGCUGAGCAAUGAUGCAAGAACAUAAAAGUUUGGAAAUCAAGGCACCAGUCCUGCAGAAGGAUACAGAUAUACCUCCAGAGCCCUGUUUGUUAGGACCCCUGUCUCUGCCAGGUGUUUGUUUUUGCAGGACAGAAGGAAGAGUGGAUAAUCGACCUGUCCUCGGGUACUGUAUGAAUUUGGAAAUUGAGGAAAAAAAAGCAGUUACCCUGUUCAAUUUGAGGGUCUAUACAUUGGCUUUUUUUGUACUUUCCUUUUCCUAAUUACUGUAGUUGGGAUGCCCAGAAAAUCCAGGCCCUCUUUCCCAACGUUCCCUGUUGAAUGGGCUGUUUGUAAGUCUGUUUUUACCAGUGACAGUACACUACAGAGAGGCGUAGCCUCUGUAUUUUUUACAUUAAGAGGAAACAAAUUUAGAUUUUUUGAAGCCAGUGUAUUCUGUUGCUCAUACAGUGCCUCCUGUGCAAUAAUCUCUCUGAUGUAUUUUCCCUUGAUGUGUGAUUCCCCCCACUGUUCCUCAUUUAGGCUCAGUGCAUUAUUUGUGAGAGCAGGAGCUGCUGCGUCACUGUAGUGUUGAUGUGAUAUUACAGAAAUGAUGCAGCAGUUGCUGUUCAUUAUUACUCCCUGAAUUUCAUGAAUGUAUAACCUGCUUUAUUUCACUUUCAGUUGGAUUUUAUCUACGGGUUCUCAGCCAAAUUGUGUCCACUUAAAAAAAAAAACUAAGUAAAUUGGCCAAACUCUUUUGUUUUAAAAGCAGUGCAGGGGUUGUUUUGAUUGCUCUGAAAUUCAGUUUGUUUCAGGUGAGAGAGUAGGAAGUGCACAUAAGUUAUUAACUAAGAAGAAAAGCCCCACUGACAUUGAAAGUUCUAUUUUUACCAUUAAUCUGAAAGCAGAAACUGAGAGGAGUGCUGAAAUCUGGCUACUGAAUGUGUCUUUCAAACCAGCGUGGAAAAUUCGGUUUUCUGGCUGUGGUUGGCAAUCAUAGGAGAACACAUCUGGACAAACUCUUCAGAGAAAUAUCCAGAGGCAAAAGAAAAGAUGUGGCAUCUUUACCAGGAUGGGCUGGUUUGGAGGAAAAAACCUGCCCACAAGUGCAGCUUCCAUGCAAUGCUGUGGUACCAAUACCAUCAUGUAUUUUGUUCUUCCUUUGCAAUGGCAGUAAGAAACAAAGCAGGUAUAUUCACUGCUUUAUGAAACCAUGCUACCAGGAGUUCUUCAGCCAGUGCAUUCUCCAGGGAGCCACAACAUGCAGCUGGAACAGCAAAAAGCUGGAAUUGAAAGCUAUGCUGACUUUCAUUGGGAAGUCUUCAGCUGUCUAG